GCCAGGUGUGGUGGCGCAUGCCUGUGGUCCCAGCUACUGGGGAGGCUGAGGUGGGAGGAUCACUUGAGCCCAGGAGGUGGAGGUUGCAGUGAGCCAAGAUCACGCCACUGCACUCCAGCCUGGGCGACAGAGUGAGACCCUGUCUCAA
rnacentral:SRP_RNA from 1 species